rnacentral:rRNA from 1 species
CCUACGGGGGGCAGCAGUAGGGAAUAUUGCUCAAUGGGGGAAACCCUGAAGCAGCAACGCCGCGUGGAGGAUGAAGGUUUUCGGAUUGUAAACUCCUUUUGUUAGAGAAGAUAAUGACGGUAUCUAACGAAUAAGCACCGGCUAACUCCGUGCCAGCAGCCGCGGGAAUACGGAGGGUGCAAGCGUUACUCGGAAUCACUGGGCGUAAAGAGCGCGUAGGCGGGUUAGCAAGUCAGAUGUGAAAUCCUAUGGCUUAACCAUAGAACUGCAUUUGAAACUGUUAUUCUAGAGUAUGGGAGAGGUAGGUGGAAUUCUUGGUGUAGGGGUAAAAUCCGUAGAGAUCAAGAGGAAUACUCAUUGCGAAGGCGACCUGCUAGAACAUAACUGACGCUGAUGCGCGAAAGCGUGGGGAGCAAACAGGAUUAGAUACCCGGGUAGUC